GCAAGUACAACGGGGCUAAGCUUAAUACCGAAUUUUUGGAUUUAAGAUUUAAUAAUUUUAAGUGGUAGACAAAUGUUGUAUAAGGGUUGAAGUUUGAACGAGAGUAUAAAUGGACUUUAUACAAGUAAGAAUUCCGGCGUAAGUAACGAAUGAAAGUGAGAAUCUUUCUAGCCGAUUGAUCAAGGUUUCCGGGGCUAGGUUCGUCCUCCUCGGGUUAGUCGAUCCUAAGGUGAGGCCGAAAGGCGUAGCCGAUGGACAACAGGUUAAUAUUCCUGUACUACCUUAGAUUGUCAACGGGCGGACAAAAGAGGUUAAAGUAAAAGGAUUAUUGGAUUUCCUUCUAAGUUUCGAAGCAAGUCGAGGCUGAAAAUCACCCCGACAUUAAUUGCAAGAAACGAAUGCUAUUUUUGGUAGGGAUAUCAGGAAGAAUUACUACCAAUCUCUUUUCGCGAAAAAACUCUAGACUUAAAUCUAAGGUAUUCGUACCGAAACCGAACACACGUGAUCAAGGAGAAUAUCCUAAGGCUAGCGAGCUAACUACAGUUAAGGAACUCUGCAAAUUAACUCUGUAACUUAGGGAGAAAGAGUGCCCCAGAAGGAAU
rnacentral:rRNA from 1 species